rnacentral:rRNA from 1 species
AUUGAACGCUGGCGGCAGGCCUAACACAUGCAAGUCGAGCGGAUGAAGGGAGCUUGCUCCUGGAUUCAGCGGCGGACGGGUGAGUAAUGCCUAGGAAUCUGCCUGGUAGUGGGGGAUAACGUCCGGAAACGGGCGCUAAUACCGCAUACGUCCUGAGGGAGAAAGUGGGGGAUCUUCGGACCUCACGCUAUCAGAUGAGCCUAGGUCGGAUUAGCUAGUUGGUGGGGUAAAGGCCUACCAAGGCGACGAUCCGUAACUGGUCUGAGAGGAUGAUCAGUCACACUGGCACAGAGACACGGUCCACACUCUUACGGGAGGCCGCAGUGGGGAAUAUUGGACAACGGGCGAAAGCCUGAUCCAGCCAUGCCGCGUGUGUGAAGAAGGUCUUCGGAUUGUAAAGCACUUUAAGUUGGGAGGAAGGGCAGUAAGUUAAUACCUUGCUGUUUUGACGUUACCAACAGAAUAAGCACCGGCUAACUUCGUG